rnacentral:rRNA from 1 species
GGGCCCGCACAAGCGGUGGAGCAUGUGGUUCAAUUCGAAGCAACGCGCAGAACCUUACCAGCCCUUGACAUGUCCCGUAUGGGUUUCAGAGAUGAGAUCCUUCAGUUCGGCUGGCGGGAACACAGGUGCUGCAUGGCUGUCGUCAGCUCGUGUCGUGAGAUGUUGGGUUAAGUCCCGCAACGAGCGCAACCCUCGCCCUUAGUUGCCAUCAUUCAGUUGGGCACUCUAAGGGGACUGCCGGUGAUAAGCCGCGAGGAAGGUGGGGAUGACGUCAAGUCCUCAUGGCCCUUACGGGCUGGGCUACACACGUGCUACAAUGGCGGUGACAGUGGGCAGCAAAGCAGCAAUGCUGAGCUAAUCUCAAAAAGCCGUCUCAGUUCGGAUUGGGGUCUGCAACUCGACCCCAUGAAGUCGGAAUCGCUAGUAAUCGCAGAUCAGCACGCUGCGGUGAAUACGUUCCCGGGCCUU